rnacentral:rRNA from 1 species
UUAGCACAUAAACGGCGAAACUGCGAAUGGCUCAUUAAAUCAGUUAUCGUAUAUUUGAUAGUACCUACUACAUGGAUAACCGUGGUAAUUCUAGAGCUAAUACAUGCUUAAAAUCCCGACUUCGGAAGGGAUGUAUUUAUUAGAUUAAAAACCAAUGCCCUCCGGGGCUCACUGGUGAUUCAUAAUAACUUCUCGAAUCGCAUGGCCUUGUGCCGGCGAUGGUUCAUUCAAAUUUCUGCCCUAUCAACUUUCGACGGCUGGGUAUUGGCCAGCCGUGGUUACAACGGGUAACGGAGGGUUAGGGCUUGACCCCGGAGAAGGAGCCUGAGAAACGGCUACUACAUCCAAGGAAGGCAGCAGGCGCGCAAAUUACCCAAUCCCGAUACGGGGAGGUAGUGACAAUAAAUACUGAUACAGGGCUCUUUUGGGUCUUGUAAUUGGAAUGAGUACAAUUUAAAUCCCUUAACGAGGAACAAUUGGAGGGCAAGUCUGGUGCCAGCAGCCGCGGUAAUUCCAGCUCCAAUAGCGUAUAUUAAAGUUGUUGCAGUUAAAAAGCUCGUAGUUGAACCUUGGGCCUGGCUGGCCGGUCUGCCUCACCGCAUGCACUGGUCCGGCCGGGUCUUUCCCUCUGGGGAUCCGCAUGCCCUUCAUUGGGUGUGUCGGGGAACCAGGACUUUUACUGUGAAAAAAUUAGAGUGUUCAAAGCAGGCCUAUGCUCGAAUACAUUAGCAUGGAAUAAUAGAAUAGGACGUGUGGUUCUAUUUUGUUGGUUUCUAGACCGCCGUAAUGAUUAAUAG